AUUGAACGCUGGCGGCAGGCCUAACACAUGCAAGUCGAGCGGAUGAAGGGAGCUUGCUCCUGGAUUCAGCGGCGGACGGGUGAGUAAUGCCUAUGAAUCUGCCUGGUUGUGGGGGAUAACGUCCUGAAACGGGCGCUAAUACUGCAUACGUCCUGAGGGAGCAAGUGGGGGAUCUUCGGACCUCACGCUAUCAGAUGAGCCUAGGUCGGAUUAGCUAGUUGGUGGGGUAAAGGCCUACCAAGGCGACGAUCCGUAACUGGUCUGAGAGGAUGAUCAGUCACACUGGAAGUGAGACACGGUCCAGACUCCUACGGGAGGCAGCAGUGGGGAAUAGUGGACAAUGGGCGAAAGCAUGAUCCAGCCAGGCCGAGUGUGUGAAGAAGGUCUUCGGAGUGUAAAGCACUUUAAGUUGGGAGGAAGGGCAGUAAGUUAAUACCUUGCUGUAUUGACGUUACCAACAGAAGAAGCACCGGCUAACUUCGUG
rnacentral:rRNA from 1 species